rnacentral:misc_RNA from 1 species
GCUCGUAGCGCCCUCUCACAAUGGCUUCGGAUCGGCCUCCUCCAGAUGUCUCCACAUAUUCCCCCGUACCAGCCAGUACUUACAGCUUGAAGGAAAAGAUCAAACUGAUAUUCUUGGAGGAGGCACAGUACCUUUACCAAACAUUUCUCACCGUCAACUCUGUGUCCCUCAAUGGCACCCUGUCCAUCAGUAUCAACGGAAAUGAAGAAAUAGGCAUAAUCGAAGUCUCUGAAACCACGGAAAGAAAUUCUUUUGGAGAUGUGUUCCCUAAUCAACAAUAUGGAGGCAGCACUGCCGCCUCGUAUUCUAGUCCUGGUGCACCCUCACAGAAAGAGGGCAGUCAGGUCAGUGGCAUAUCAAAGAUGGCCAAACCCUUCCCAACGCUGCCUCCAAAGCCGAAGGUCUUCGAUAAGAACUGGUUUGACAAAGUUACCUCCCUUGGAAGGCUGGAGCUGAUGAGGAAGUAUGACAGUGUAGAUAAUGACCAGCAGCCUCAACCAAAGAAUCUGACAGUUGGCAGUCCUACCACCGACACAAGAUGGACAGGAUCUGCCACCAGUGGAUCUGCAGGCUCGAGCCAAGACCAUCCAAUCCGAUUGAGCACAGAGACGCCAAUAGAUGACCUGGCAGUAUCCGAGGACAUCAAACUAGAACCGGAACAGGAUCCAGAUGAGGACUGGAUGGUGGAUGAGGACAAUGCUGAGGAGGACAAUGAGGACAAGAAGGACGAAGACUACCUGCCCGAGAUUGGAGAAGAGGCUGCUGUAGCCGAUGAUGCAGAGGGGGAAGAUGGCAAUGAGGAAGAGGCUGACAACGAUGAAGAAGCUGAUAAUGAUGAAGACUGGUUGGAAUCCAAACGGAGAAGUAAGAGGAAGCCUGGCCUCAAGAGGAAGCUUGUCACAAAAUCUGUUGUUCCAAAAAAGAGAGGAAGAAAAACUGCUGCCAAACUGUCACUGAAAAUUAAGUUGAAACAGCUGACAUCUGUCAAGCCAAAGACGAAAGUGAAGAAAGAUUCGAAAAAAGAGCCACAGCAACCAAUACCAGCUGACUUAACAUGCACACUAUGCCAAAAGAAGUUUGAUACAAAGAGAGCAUAUAAGAGACACUCUGAUCGUCACUGGAAGAGUUUUCAGUGUGAUGAGUGUGGGAAACCAUUCUCCUCUAUGGAUUCGCUGACUCAUCAUAAACGAGGCCUCCACAGCUCCACAAAGCCGUAUUCAUGCGAGGAGUGUGGAACGACCUUCAACUUUCACCACAGCUACAAGCUGCAUAUGAGGAAGCAUCGCGGCGAGCGGCCUUACCAGUGUGAUCAGUGCCAGAAGUCCUACCUGACUGCAACCCACUUGAAGGCACACAAGGAGGCCAUCCAUGAGACUGGGACUAUGAGUCAGUUUGUGUGUGAUACCUGCGGGAAGACCUUCACCUACAGGAACAGCCUCAAGACUCACCAGAUGAUCCACACGGGGGAUCGGCCAUACAAGUGCAGCAUCUGUGAGAAGGGCUUCGUCACCAGACAAGCGCUGAAGACUCACGAGGAGUCGUACCAUGUUCAAGAGAGGAACUUCCAGUGUGACAUCUGCUUGAAAUUCUAUAAGUCUGAACAUCUGCGAAAUGUCCACCGGCGACGUCACACGAGUGAUGUGAACAGGUUCAUGUGUGACAUCUGCGGCCGUCAGUUCAUGUUCAAGAGUAACCUCGAGGCACACUCAUUCGUUCAUCAGGAUGAGCGGCCGUUUGUUUGCAACGUCUGUCAGAAGUCAUUCAAGUGCAUGUCCUCCCUCUACACCCACCAGUAUACCCACAAGACAACAACGCCAUUCAAAUGUGGCAUUUGCACAAAGACCUUCAAGACCAAGAACUGUUGCAAGGCUCAUGAGAAACGCCACAAUGCCAAGAAAAACUUCAUGUGUUCAACUUGUGGGGCUUGCUUCCCAGACAAAGGUGGACUCACCAAGCACAUCAGGACCAUUCAUUCACCACAGAAGCAGUUUAUUUGUAAGCUUUGUCGGAAGGUCGGGACAAGAGCUGACAACAUGAGAACACACAUCAAGAGUCACGGCAAAGAACUUGGUGGCCUGGAUGCAUCUGAAUUCAUUGUGGAGAUCUUAACAUCCGGCGAUAAUCAAGAUAUUCAAGAAAUAGCUGAGAAGUCAUUAGAGUUGUCUAGACAGAUGUUAUCCAAAGCUGAAACCGACGUUCAGCUUCAUGCUCCGAAGGUAUCAACGCAAACCCAGGAUGCAUCAGUGUACCCUCAGACAAGCCACAAUCAAACCUCAAUCCACCAAACUCCUCGGGGUGUGAAUAUGCAGCUACCAAUCAACUACCAACCGUCUCCAGUCUCCCCUCCCCAGCCAGUGUACCAAGCACCUGUGUCUCCCAGCGCCCAUGUGUACCAAGCUCCCAUGUCCCCAUCAGCGGGGAUGUAUCAGCCUCCUCUGUCCCCCCGGAACUACCCCUGCCCUGCCUCACCCCACAGGGAGAGCCCAUCGCACCAUAUGUUGAACGCUGGAGUCCCUCAUCAGCCCGACCCGAUGCAGACUGCUCUUGGUCAGUCCCACACCCUGCAGCCUCUGGUCACAGUGUCGUCCCAUCUCCAGCCUCUCCAACCACCAAUCAAUCCCAUGCCCGCUCACCUACACAAUCAUGACCAUGGUCCUCCUGUGUUUCCCCCCCUGCACCCUCAUGGACAGCUUGGAGGAGGUGAAGGUCAUCAUCCAGCAGACAUGUAAAUGUCAAGGUCAUUGUGUAGCCGACUUUUGAUACAAGGUGAAGGUUGAUGUGAAACAAGGUAUUUCAGGUUUGUAAGCCUAAGUAAGGAUGAUGUGUAGCAGACUUGUGAAAAUAGGUCAAGGUUGAAGUGUAGCAGACUUGUGAAACAAGGUCAAGGUUGAAGUGUAGCAGACUUGUGAAACAAGGUCAAGGUUGAAGUGUAGCAGACUUGUGAAACAAGGUCAAGGUCGAAGUGUAGCAGACUUGUGAAACAAGGUCAAGGGCAGACUUUUUUUUAAAAAGGUUAAAGUGUAGCAGACAUUAAACAAGGUCAAAUUCUUAUGAGUAAGUGAGUAUAGUUUUAUGCUGCUAUUAGCAAUAUUCCAGCAUUUUAACGGUGGGGAUACCAGAAAUGGGCUUCACACAUUGUACCCAUAUGGGAAAUUGAACCCAGGCCUUCAGUGUGGCGAGCGAAUGCUUUAACCAUGAGGCUACCCAACCACCUCCUUAUGAAUCAAAAGGAAAGUAGAAGAUAUAAAAGCUUAUAGUGACAAAAUCAGAUCUUUUGCUCGGAAACUAUACCUCUCUGCAUGUAACUGUACAACACCUCCACAGGGGAGCUUUCUAACUGCCAAUGGCUUCUAAAUUCUCGGUACGAGUGAGUAAAGCAUUCAGAACCGCAUAUCUGAUUUCUGUAUCUUGAAAACAAACUUAGAAUGGGGGGUUACAGUUCUCUCAGGGUUCACCUGAUACGACCGUCUGUGGAGGUGUCAUCAGAGGAAUUGGGUGAAAGAAUGGACUUUAUUGAGAUUGGUGGCUAAAAGGUCAAGGUCAGCUUCAACCUCUGGACUACAUACAUGCAUUUGAUGCUGAUUCUUUGUGUUGUGAAGGUGCCCAGCCGGGAUCCUGUCAGUAUUGUGGGAGUGCAAGCGUGAGAGGGUUUAUUGUACCCUGCUAUUUUAUGACAGGUCCCUUUGUCUUCCCUCAGAGUUGGAUGUUUCUAUCAUUAAUGUUGCUUGGGACAUUUUUCUGCAAUUUUCCGACAUCACCUGUUAAUUUGAAUUACCAUAUUUACUUAUUAACCGUCCUUGUGGCUUAAAAACUUGACAAAGACGCUGCGCUUACAAAAAACAUACACAGUGUCUUUUCAGAUAAGCAAGAGUUAAUUAAACUAAAACUUUUCCAAAAGUGAUUACUGGACAAAUCUAUACCCCUCCUGCACUGCAGUUUUCUGUAACAGAAUCUGUAAUGUACUCAAGAAAAUAUGGACUAAAAAAAUAAAUAAAAUCGUUGUAGGGGGCACUUUUUUAGAUUACAGAUUGGUCUAAAAGUUUGUCAGGGGAAGUCCAUGGGAGCAGUGGGGUUAAUACAGUGAAUAUGGUACAUCCUUUUGAUAUACUAUGUGAACUAUAUUUGUCCUGAUGUUUGUUUGUUUACUUAGUCAUGUUUGUUAUCACCUGUAGGAGUGUAUAGCAUCAGAUACUGCAAUCUGCAGUAAGUUACAGCCACCCAAGAUCACAAGGGUUGUCACGAUGCUCCCAUAAAUUAUUUUUCAGUGAAUUUCUCAAAGAAAAUUCAUUAAUCAAUACAAAUGAUGUAAAACAUUGUUUUUGUUCAGGUGUGUGUAUUGUCUGCUUAGCAGCUUGUUACCAUGGUUACAAUGUUAAGUCUAUUAUAUAUUUAUAUAUACUUUAUGGAAUUAACAUGGCACAGUGUUAUAUUGUACAAACAUUAAUCUAUUUGAAGAGUGUGAGAGACCAAUAUCAUUAAAAUCAGAUCUUAGUUCUCGCUACCGCUAAACAAAGAUCUGAGGACAUCCCAUUACGGGUC